rnacentral:misc_RNA from 1 species
UUGCGCAACUUUAUCCACUUUUUGCUUAUUAAAAUGAUUUUGGUUAUUCUUUGCCACGCCAAAAAUGGCGGAAAUUUAUUUGCAACUUUUACGAAUAAUUAAACAAUCUUACUCUACAAUAUUACAUGCUUGCAAAAGUGCUGCUUGAAUUUAGAAUACUAGUGUAAGGAGAAAUCAUCUACUUCAGCCACCAUGGAGUCUUACUUGAUGAUGUUAUACGUGACACUAGAGCAGGAGUCUGCCCUGAAAAACUUCUUUGUGGACCAAGGAUGGAUGUUUUGUAAACCAGAUUUGUCAGUAACAACAGACAAACUGGGACCAGCUGUUCAAAAUCCACCAGUUGUCAGUGAAGAAAUAAGUCUUCCUGAGACAGAUAUUCCUCCUCAGAUGAAACAGACAAUUCCGGAAAUCAAAAUAAACAUUCCACCAUCUAAACCAGCCACAGGGACAAGUACAGUGCGGAGAGGAAAAAGAAAGACAAAGUCACCAAAACAAACUGCAAUACGCAUUAAACAGGCCAAAGUGGCUAGUGCUUCAGUGCCAGAGCCAAGUGAAUCAAAUGAAAACUUAGUAACAGAAGCAGUAGAAAGUAAUAAAAGUGAAACUCUGGAUACAAGUAAAAUUAAAGUGCCAAGUCACAGUACAGGUAGAGGAUGGAAAUCAGUUUACAAUUAAAAUUGAACAAGAAAGUGAGGAUGUGGGUAAUGACAAAGGAGAGGUUGAUAACAGUGAUGUGGUUGGUAAUGAUGAUUUUGAUGAUGGUGAUGAUGAUAAUGAUGAAGAAACUAAUGUGGAUUAUAGUUUUGAAGGGGCUUCUACAAGUGAAGGAGAUACUAGUGUAAAGAUGGAAAGUCAGUCGCUUGGAAAUAAUUCCACAAAUGUAAACACUGCUGCCAAAGGUGGUUCUUCAGGCAAAGGCGUAGAUGAAAUGGAGAAAAAGAAGAAGAAACGGUUUGAGUGCGGGGUAUGUAGGAAAUCAUACAAUACCGCAGCAAGGAUGUAGGUUUCACACAAAAAAUGAACAUGAUCAAUCUGUUCAAAACACCGUUUGUAAAGUCUGUGACAAAAGAUUUAGCACUGCUUACAGUUUGAACAUGCAUCAGUUAACAAUACACAUGGGAGAACGAAGAUACUCUUGCACCCUGUGUGAUCGGCAAUUUUCAUCCAACAUGGAUCUUGAUGGACACUUCCGGCAGCACCACGAUGGACAGAAGUAUCGGUGUGAUAUUUGCGGGUUUGAAUUUGGCUACAAGAAAAACUUCUACAGACAUGUUGCAAUAUGCGGAAUAGCGGCGCGGGAACAGCAUCCUUGUACCAUAUGUGAGAAAAUGUUCAGCUCCAAAGGUUCACUGCAAAACCACAUGCGGGCUAAACAUUCCAGUGUUGUUCACGAGUGUGCACUGUGUGGGAACAUAUUCGAGAGGAAAUACUCCCAUACUAGACACAUGAAAAACGUUCAUAAACUUGACUGAUGCGACAUAUUGUUCAUGUACAUAUAGAACUGAAACAUUCUGCAAGAUUUAUGUUGCCGACAAGUUUAGUGAACAACUUACAACUUAAGGUUCAUAGAUACCCUGGAAUCCUUUUGAAAAUCCUUGUUAUUAGAUUAGGAUUUGUUGGAUAGGGAACGGGCGGCUGUGUGGCGUCAAACAGGUUUCCAGUCAAUAGAAUUAGAGGUGAUUAGCAUAUUGUCUAAAAACUUGGCAUGUAGCAAACUUUCACGGAGGUCAAGCAUGAUAUUCAGUUUGGGAUCUCUUGGGCUAAGGACAAGGUCACAAUUACUAUAAAUAGAAAAGCAAGGUCUAAACGAGGUCAAGUAAAAAAGCUUUAGUAAGCUUGCCUGCUUAGGUCAAGGACAAUGUCGCUAUUACUACAAAUAGAAAAGUGUACAGCUCAGUAAGGAAUCUGAUGUUGCGAUCUUAACAGAUAAGGAACUUACGCGGAGAGAAAAGCUGGGAUUACAUUUAUGAGUGCUAGGGUCAGUAUCAAGGUCACUGUUACUUAAAAUAGAAUAAAACAGUUUGAAUAACUGAGCUGCAUGGAAAUUUAGUGUAUUGAAAUCAAGCUUAACACUAUACUUUUGGACGAAUGGAAUGUUGUUACUAAAAAUAGACUAUUUGUAGUGUGUCAUAAUUCAUUUAUUUCAAAAUUUGUAUGUACGGUAUAAUGUUU